GUCUUCUUCCCACCGUGAAAAAGAGUGGGGAAUCCGAGUAAAAAAUGGAUUCCUCCUCUAUAAAACCCCUUUCCCCUCCCUUUAGGUCUUUAUCACGGGAUUUUGAGAGAUUAUUAAGAGUUUAGAGGGAUUUUUCCAAGAUUUUUGCUGCGAGUUGUUUGAACAGGAAGAAAAGGGGUUCGCCGGAGCUCUUCUCAACCGCCGG
rnacentral:lncRNA from 1 species